rnacentral:rRNA from 1 species
UACGGAGGGGGCUAGCGUUGUUCGGAAUUACUGGGCGUAAAGCGCACGUAGGCGGCUUUGUAAGUUAGAGGUGAAAGCCCGGGGCUCAACUCCGGAAUUGCCUUUAAGACUGCAUCGCUAGAAUUGUGGAGAGGUAAGUGGAAUUCCUAGUGUAGAGGUGAAAUUCGUAGAUAUUCGGAAGAACACCAGUGGCGAAGGCGACUUACUGGACACAUAUUGACGCUGAGGUGCGAAAGCGUGGGGAGCAAACAGG